AUGCCAAAAAACCACACACCCCGUUUUUACCAAAUCCACCCCAAACGAGGCAGGGGCCCCAGAGAAAGCACAGCAGGGCCAACAAAUGCCUUUUUUUUACCCAAUUUUCUCAUUUUCCCCCCGUUUUUCCCUAUUUCCCCCUCAUUUCUUCCAUUUUCCCUCAUUUUUCCUCAAUCUUUACCUCAUUUUUCCCUAUUUUCCUCAUUUUUCCUUUGUUUCUCUCAUUUUUCCUCCUUUAUUUUCUUAUUUUCCUCAAUUUUCCCUCACGUUUUUCUCUUUUCCCCUCAUUUUUUGCCUCAUGUUUACCUCAUUUUCCCUCUUUUCUCCUUAUUUUUUCCUCCUUUUCUCAUUUCUUCCUCAUUUUUCCCUAUUUUUUUCCUCACAUUUCCCUGUUUUCCCCUCCUUUUCCCCUCUUUUCCUCAUUUUUCCCUAUUUUCCCCUCUUUUUUCCCUCCUUUCCUCAUUUUUCCUCCUUUUUCCCUAUUGUCCCCUCACAUUUCCCUCAUUUUUUUCUAUUUUCCCCUCAUUUUUCCUUCAUUUUUCCCUCAUUUUUCUCUAUUUUCCCCUCCUUUCCUCAUUCUUCCCUCACAUUUCUCUCAUUUUUCCCUAUUUUCCCCUCCUUUUCCCCUCUUUUCCUCAUUUUUCCCUCACUUUUCUCUAUUUUCCCUAUCAUUUUUCCCUAUUUUCCUCUCCUUUUCCCCUCCUUUCCUCAUUUUUUCCUCAUUUUUCCUUAUUUUUUCCCUCACAUUUCCCUAUUUUCCCUUCCUUUUUCCCUCCUUUCCUCAUUUUUCCCUCACAUUUCCCUCAUUUUUCUCUAUUUUCCCCUCCUUUCCUCAUUUUUUCCCUCGUUUCCCUCAUUUUUUUUCUAUUUUCCCCUCAUUUUUCCCUCCUUUUUUUCCCAUUUUCACCAAAUCCCCCCCAAAAACGAGGCAGGGCCCCCGAGAAGCGAGGCAGGGCCGGCGACCGCUCACUUUUCACUUUUUUUCCUCAUUUUUAUUGGUAG
rnacentral:lncRNA from 1 species